rnacentral:lncRNA from 1 species
GAAACCACUGAGCUAAAUCCCCGGCCAGCUAGAGGCUUUUUAGAUCAUCAGUUCUAAGUGACUAGGUCACUCCCCGCCCCCUCCUCCAAGUGUGUUUCCAAAGAUUUAGAGAAGAAGGAGUUUUCAGGGAGCACUCAUAAGAGCAAAGUGGAGGGUUGAGUGUGAUCUGGCUGGUAGACAGAAGAUACAAAGAUGCCAAGGGGACAUAGGACAAAGUAUUCCUAUAGCAUAAAAUUUGAGUAGAACUGAUUGGCUCACCAAUUGAAAACUGUAACAAAAAACCCAACUCAGAAAAGGACAUUUACUGACUAAACAACCAAAGAAGUAUUAUGUACCUGCCUAUCAGACUGACAAAAUUUUUAAAGUCUGAUGUUAACAAUCAUUGGUGAGGAUGUGAAGAAACAAGACCUCAUGGUGAUGAGAAGAUAAAGAAAUACAACUACUUUAGAAAGCCAUUUGAAUGAACAGACUACAUGAAUGAUAAGAUAAAUGGAGCUGAAAUGAGGGAAGAGGUGGGGGGACCUUUACCUCUAUUUGAACCAGUCUGCAUACUGUCUUCAGGGAAGCCAGGCG